AUGCUCAGCACACACUGCGGUAACUGUUCAUGCAGUUGCAGAAUCGUAAGCAAGAGACAUUUUCCAUGGCAGGCCCUGUGCUGCACCGAAAGCCCCCCCGCCCCCGCAAAGGCUGGGAUCGUGGUUGGGUCACUCAACUGCCUCUGGCCCCUUUACCCUGUAACGUCAGUAUGGGGUGCCCUCUGGCCGGCUGGGGGCUGCAGGGUCCGUGACAACACGGCCCGAAGGCGGGAAGGUGCACCCGCGGACUUCAGGCGGCAGUGCCGAGCCCGCCCGCCUCCCAGGGCUCGGGCAACACGCCCCCGGCUUUUCCGCACGGUUGGGAAAGCAAUCGGAGCGGAAGGCGUAGGCGCGAGCGGCGCGGGCGGCCGCACGCAGUCCCCCAGGGGCUCCUCGCCUCGGGCUCCGAGCGGCUCCGUCCCGCAGGAUGGGGCCAGGCGCAGGCUCUCGGCACCUGCCCAGCCCCGUGUCCUCAAGCUACCCGGGACACCCGACUCGGCCCGGGAGCCCACGGAUCCGGGUGCGAGAGCUGGAGAGGUGCGGAGACGCCGGACUGGAGCGAAAAAAACAGCAGCAGGCUUCAGGUCCUUCCAACCUCUGAUCAACCUCCAAUCGAAAUCUUCAGAGCCAUCCUCCCUCCCCUCCUGCUCUGGGGACCAGGCCGCAGCAGCUCCCGAGCUCAGCCCCUACUGCCCACCCGCUACCAGCUCCGGGAUUGCGGGGAUCCUUCCGCCCACGUGGAGGCCGCGGCCCGCCGCCCGGUCCGCCUGCACCUGCCGGCCUCCUGCCCUCCUCCGCCUGGGCCUCUACUUCCACCGCGACGCUGUGGCUCUGCACGCCGAGGCCACUUCCUCCGCGAGCGGGCCGGGGACCAGCGCCGGGUCGCCGGGAGCCCUUGGGUGCAAACCCGGCCCCGCGGCCGCGCCCUCCCGCAGGACGAGCAGAGGCCUCCCGGGACGGACCCUGCAAACCCCUGAACCCCCGGGAGAACCAGAAGCAGGCCCUCGUGGCUCUGCAAGCCCCGGGCAGUGCCCGCGUAGACUCGGGACCUGCCAGAGAACCUAG
rnacentral:lncRNA from 1 species